rnacentral:rRNA from 1 species
UACGGAGGAUGCAAGCGUUAUCCGGAUUUAUUGGGUUUAAAGGGUACGUAGGCGGAAAAUUAAGUCAGUAGUGAAAUCCUGCAGCUUAACUGUAGAACUGUUAUUGAUACUGGUUUUCUUGAAUAUAGUUGAGGUAGGCGGAAUGUGUAAUGUAGCGGUGAAAUGCUUAGAUAUUACACAGAACACCGAUUGCGAAGGCAGCUUACUAAGCUAUGAUUGACGCUGAGGUACGAAAGCGUGGGGAGCGAACAGG